UCCUGCUGGGCUGGCAGGAGCAGGAGAAUGGAUGGGGGGGUGGAGGGGAAGUUUUGGCUCCCCAGGAGCCACCUGGAGUUAGGAAAAAAUGCUGAUUUUUUCUUUCUUUUUUUCAAACAUUUGUUUUAAAUAUUUUGCCCCUGGAGAGCUGUGUGGUGACAGAUAUUUCAGUGUCCAAGAACUCCUGAUGAUUCUAUCCGUGUUUAAGUGCAAUCUCUCCCAGCCCAAGGGAGUUGCUCGGUGCUGAGUGGGUGUUUUUUCUCUUUUCUAUCCCAAACAGGGUAAAUUUCCCAGAGGGCUCUUGUCCCCCCUUAAAUUCCAGGACCAUCACUGCAGGUUUGCACAAGCUGAGGAGCCACAGGAGGUUUUAAACAUCAGGAAAAGGGAGGGAAUGGCUGAAGGAAGGAGAAGGGGCUCCUGCCUGUCAGGUCUUUUCCCAUCAUUUCUGCUUGGUCAAGCAGGGCUGCAGAGGGAGCUGAUGAAGUGGGAUGUGACAGGUCAUCACGUGGAUCUGCCAAGCUCUGGGAGUUCUCUCGGGUUUUGGAUUGCAAGGGUUGAGCUUUGGGGAAAGAAAACAGCAUUUGAGGGGAAUGCUGGGAAGGCUCAUCUCCACCCAGACCCUUCCUGGACGGGCUCUCUGCCCUUUGCAUCCUCCCUCCAUCACAGGAGUGAAGGUUACUGAGCCUGUUGGAGCUCCAAACCAGCAGGAAAGGGAGGGGUUUGCAGGAAUUUGAAGUGGAAACAGGUCCUUCCCAGUUCCUGCAGCAUCCAAACGUUGGUGUCCAUCACCAAGGGGCCCUUUUCCCCCUGCCCCAGAGGAGUGGGGCCGAGAAAACACUUGUUUGUGGACAAUCCUGGCUCUUCAUCCUGUGGUGAAUGUUUUUUAGAGGGAGAUGUACAGAUUGGAGGUUCAGCACAUGAAACAGCUCUGAUUCAAUCUCUCAUUACAACACCUGAGAGCUGGUGCCGAGUCCAUGGGGUGUUUUGCUCCUAGAUCCCUAAUUCGGUGAUUUUUGGUAGCAAGAAAGUCCCACCCAACAUUCCCACCUUCACCUUCCUCCCCAGAGCAAGGAGCAGCAGCAGGACCCCGGGUCAUGAGUGGGGCCUGGCAGAUUCCCACUUAAAUCCUCAGCUUUGUAAUUCCAGGCCAGGAAUUCUCCUGGCAGCCUGUGCCAGCCCCUCUGCUGUGGGCAAGUCCCACCUUUGGGGUCAGAUGAUCUCAGUUUGGGGUUAGGAAAGUAUGUCAAGACACAGGGAACAGCUUGAAUCCUUGUUCCUGUGUAGUUCUAUGAUAUUUAUAUGCAUAUUAAUAUCAUAUUUAUAUUCAUAUUGAUAUGUAGGUGUUUCCAUUCUGGUUUUUUCUCUACCUGAGUGCAGGAAGAGGAAUAUUCAGUCCAUGCACACCCUUUAUCUCCUUCCUAUGAGUGGUGGCACCAACUGAAGCAGCUCCCUUCUCACCUUUCCAAGGCCCAGUAAAUCCUAUUUUAUUAGAGGUGAAAACAUGGCUCCAGACUCAGUUUUCAUUGGAACUCAUCCCCUCUCCCUCCCAGCAGCCCAGCCCUGCUGCAGCUGAUGUUCUCCUCGAGCAUCUCUGCACCCACAGCUCGAUGGAGGAGCCUCGAUCCCCCUCAGAUCCUGCUGUGUGUGUGUUGAAAUGGGUGAUUUUUAAGAGCAAAGAUGGAACUCGAGCCCUCUCUAUCCCUCUUGGUGCAUUCCUAAAUAAAGCACAGGCGCCACUGUCCUCUUCUGGCAGGAGCUGUCAUACCACAGCCACUUGCCAAGACCUGCAGGACCCUUUUUUGGGAUGAAUUAGCCACGUUCCCUCCCUCCCCCCUGCAGAGAACGGGAUGUGGGGACCCCAAUUCCUCAGCAGCACAGUCCUGGAUUUGGGGCUGGAUGCAGCCAGUGGAUCCUGGAGACUCUGAGUUGUCCCAAAUCCUGGUGAGAUUUAAAUCAAUGUGUCGUGCUGUAAAAAUCCUCCUGGAUGAAGCUGCUGUAUUUCCAUCCCCCAGACAGGGGCACUGUUGGAUUUAAUGCCUGGUACGAGCUAUUUUGAUCUUUUUUUGUGGUUUACUGUCCACUAAAGCUUCUCCAGAAGGGGCACACUUUCCCUGCAAGGGGAAUUUAAGAUUACUGACAGUAACUUUAAUUUUCUUGGUCAUUUUUUCAGAGUCAGCCGUGGCCGACAAGACCCCAUAACCAAAGAGCAGACAGGGAUUGCUGCUUUGGAGACACCAGCAAGCUCUUCUGGCUGUUCCAAGGCUUCAGCUGCUGCAGGAGCAUGAUUUGGAGGCUCAGCUGAAGGAACCUGAACAGGCAGAGCUGCUCCCUCAGGCUGUGGAUGGAAAGAGGAGGGAAGGGAACAAACCUGCACCUCCCUCACCCCGUGUGAGGGAUGUUUUGGCAGCUCAACCCUCUCGUGCCUCAGUUUCCCCACCUAUAAUCUCUCUUUGGAAAGGGUUCUGAGACAAUGAAGUGAUGCUGUGCUUGGCCUUGUGACUCCAUAAAGCAAGAAUGUCCACUGGGGAUGGAUGUUGGCUCAUCCUUGUCUCCUGCACCUCCCAGGAGGAGCUUCCCCUGCCCUGAGCCUGGUUACAGCCACCCCCUUGCCUUCCUCCUGGCUGUCCCCAGCAUGUGCAGAGAGAAGAAGGGACCUAAUUUCCCACUUUCCUCCCCCUCCUCCAUAUUUCCUUGGUUUCCAGGGGCUCCAAAGGGGAAGAAUUUCAUUAUGACCUUGCUUCAGCCUUUUAUUUUCCAUCUGUAUGGUUUUGCUUCCCCCAUUAUCUGAAAAGAAACCGUCUCCUUCUCCUUUCCCUCAGCCCAGAGAAGCUGUGGAUGCCUCAUUCCUGAAGUGUCCCAGGCCAGGUUGCUUGGAGCAGCCUGGGCUGGUGGAAGGUGUCCCUGCCCACAGAACGAGGUGAGCUGUGAGGUCCCUCCCAACCCAAACCAUUUUGGGAUUCCUCAUCCUUUGGCUGAAGAAAAAUGAUGCAGCAACGACCCUUCAGGGAGGAGACUGUUGUGGGGAUUAAAUUCAGGCUGGAGAAGGAUCCUUUGAUGCCAUCCUACAUGGACAGGGGGGACUGGAUGAUAUACCUGAUACUAAGAUGCAGUCAGCUCACAGAGAGCAAGGAGAGGUGGAGAGGACCCAUCCACGCUGGUCAACAAGCUGAUGGCCACGCUGCAGCUCCAGGGUGCACCUUCCUCCCACCCUCCUCACCUAGGAGAUGAUGGGCUUAACUCAUCCCAUGGAUUCCUGGGAUAAAGAUGACCAGGACACUAUACCACAGGCUUGGAAGGACCCACCAAAGCAACCAAAAUCUCCUGUAGCUGGUGCUGGGUGGGAACGAGGUGGGUCUUUGCUCUCGGGAAGACCCCUCUGUGACCUUGGAGCGUGUUCCCUCUUCCCCAGCGUCGCUGGUGCUGCUUGGAGCUGAAUGCAGAGCUCCUCUGGGAGUUUUCCACAGGGUGGGAUGCUCAGUGUCUCCUGAAAAAUCCCUUGAAAGGCUCCCAGGGCCUCCCUGGGACAUGGAGGGGCCACAAGUCAACCGGACCCCGCAGUUCUGAACUCAUUUCCCUAAAGCCUUGCACAGGGAAGAGAGUGAGACCAGGACCCAAUCCCAAGGUUGUGCAGCUCCUGUGGAGGCAGGAACGUGCCUUGGUGGGACCAAGAGCCUGGACCAAGACCCAUAUAUUGCCAGGCAAGAACUGCUGGACUCUUUGGUGCCAUUAGGUCUUAAAAUAUAAAUGCUACUUCUUAAAACAGGUGUUGCUGCCCAGUGGGAAAGUCUGAAUGUCAAGGGAAUCCCUCACCCCAUGUGGGGAUAAAUCUGUUCCCAAGUGCUAAAACUCUCCCUGGGAGGGUUCAGCUCAGGACCUGGGCUCUUGGGGGUCCAACCUCUGCCUUGGGGGUGGUUCCUGAGGAGUCUGGGGUUUUUUGGGUCAGUUGUUACCCUGUGUGUGAAGAUGCACCACAGCCCUGGUUGCAGCCCUGUUUCCUUUAAAGCCAAGGACAGCAAGGCCAGGUAGGGUUUCACGAGGGUGUAGGAUUUCUGAAUCUGAGUCUUUCCUGAGACAAACUCUGAUCCUCACCUGCGUGUCAGAGACGUGCAGGCACUCGCCACGUCCAGAACCACCCAGGAUCCUCCUACUGCUCAGGGAAGGGCUGUCAUUUGGGCUGGUUGAACAACACUGCAGGUGAGUGACUGGUUUUAAUUGUAUUUAUUGUGCUUAUAGAGGCCUGUAGGACAUUGAUGAUAUAAUGGAAAUAUAACCAUUAUAGCCCAACACCCAUGGAAAGUUCCCACCUACAUUAAGCCACUUAUUUUACUCUGUUAUCACUAGGAUCUGAAAGAAUCACCUGGUUGAAAAGGUUUCUCUUUAUCUCCAGCUAAAUUGAUGUUUGACUCAUGUUUUUAUACCAAAUUGUGCUGAUACAGGAUUUUUGGCUGCUCUUGGUUUUGUGCCUCAACCUACUCAGAAACACUCUGUGCUUUGAGCAUUUACAGCCUCUGUUUCUCUUCCAAGGCUUAAAUAAAGUGGUCACUUUUAGCUGUGA